rnacentral:rRNA from 1 species
GACGAACGCUGGCGGCGUGCUUAACACAUGCAAGUCGAACGGAAAGGCCCUGCUUUUGUGGGGUGCUCGAGUGGCGAACGGGUGAGUAACACGUGAGUAACCUGCCCUUGACUUUGGGAUAACUUCAGGAAACUGGGGCUAAUACCGGAUAGGAGCUCCUGCUGCAUGGUGGGGGUUGGAACGUUUCGGCGGUUGGGGAGGGACUCGCGGCUUAUCAGCUUGUUGGUGGGGUAGUGGCUUACCAAGGCUUGGACGGGCAGCCGGCCUGAGAGGGUGACCGGCCACAUUGGGACUGAGAUACGGGCCGGACUCCUAGGGGAGGCAGCAGUGGGGAAGAGUGCACAAUGGGCGGAAGCCUGAUGCAGCAACGCCGCGUGCGGGAUGACGGCCUUCGGGUUGUAAACCGCUUUCGCCUGUGACGAAGCGUGAGUGACGGUAAUGGGUAAAGAAGCACCGGCUAACUACGUG